rnacentral:rRNA from 1 species
GAUCCUGGCUCAGAGCGAACGUUAGCGGCGGGCCUAACACAUGCAAGUCGAACGCGAAAGGUCUUCGGACUGAGUAGAGUGGCGCACGGGUGAGUAACACGUAGGUAAUCUACCCUUUGGCGGGGGAUAACGUUCCGAAAGGAGCGCUAAUACCGCAUAAGACCACGGAGUCUCCGGACGCUGUGGGAAAAGGUGGCCUCUUCUUGAAAGCUACCACCGAAGGAUGAGCCUGCGUCCCAUCAGCUAGUUGGUAAGGUAAUGGCUUACCAAGGCGAAGACGGGUAGCUGGUUUGAGAGAAUGAUCAGCCACACUGGCACUGGAACACGGGCCAGACUCCUACGGGAGGCAGCAGUGAGGAAUAUUGGGCAAUGGGCGAAAGCCUGACCCAGCCACGCCGCGUGAGUGAUGAAGGCCCUCGGGUCGUAAAGCUCUGUGGAGAGGGACGAAAACCCUGGUUUCAAAUAGACUCCAGGCUUGACGGUACCUCUUUAGCAAGCACCGGCUAACUCUGUG